GCUGCUGUUGAAAUACAGGUGCCCAGAGUCUCUAGACACUAGGAGCUGCUUCAGCUAGAAAGCAGCCUUGGUUUGCAUUGUUUACUCCCUUCCAUUGUCUUGUUGCUUCUACUAGGAAUGGGAUCCUGGACAUCUCUGUGUGCCCUUCUUUUGAUCUUCUCCAUUCACGAUACCCGUUCCCAAACAUUUCUCUGUUCCAGUGGUUUUUGUGCAACAGGCUGGGUGCAGUAUGCGGACUCCUGCUAUAAAGCUGUGAUGGAACCAAAAAACUGGAAUGACGCUGAGAUGGCUUGUCAGAGUUAUGGCAGGAACUCCCACCUGGCCUCUAUCCACAGUGCAGAAGAAAAUGACUUCAUUUUUCACUUGAUGGGCAAACCGCUGGAUCACACCAAUGGAAAGGCCUAUUGGAUCGGUGCUCAUGACACUUUCAAGGAGGGAUCCUUUGUGUGGACAGAUGGUUCAGGAUUUGAUUUCCAGACAUUUCCUCCUAAUCAACCUGAUGGACUGGCUGGAGAACACUACUUGGGGUCCUGGAUCUUGCAAAAUGGACACGUCACCUGGAAUGACUUCGCUCUUUCAUGGCACUUCCCUUUUGUUUGCAAAUACAACCUGAGAGAUAGGGCCACAAGUCUCCAGUAGAAGUUUGUGCAGGUGCCAGGAAAACUCUCCUUUUACCAUUUCUUUUUUCCUUUGAGCCAUGGCUAGCCAAGAAGCUCCCUGCAGCUGAAGCCACUGCCACAGCAGCAGUGAAUCUUAAAGCAAAAUCUAAGCCUUCUUCCAACAGAAACAAAUGAAAUCUCUGUGGAGGAAAGAGAAUGACGUGCCCACAGUUAUAUAGGAAAAUAAACACAAAAGUGUAAUAAAAACAAG